GUCCUGGCCCUAAACGGUGCGCAUUUGCUGUAAGAGGAAUCGACCCCUUUGUGGCGAAGCUAACGCGUUAAAUGCGCCGCCUGGGAAGUACGGCCGCAAGGUUAAACUCAAAGAAUUGACGGGGCCUGCACAAGCGGUGGAGUAUGUGGCUUAAUUCGAUGCAACGCGAAGAACCUUACCUGGCCUUGACAUGCACAUAGUAGAAGCCUGAAAGGGUGACGAGGUAGCAAUACCAGUGUGCACAGGUGCUGCAUGGCUGUCGU
rnacentral:rRNA from 1 species